GGAGUUCCAAAAGGGAGCUCUGCUUUUAUUCCCAUGGCUGGGAGCAACUAGCUAGCAGAUUCUUGGGGUCCAAAAGGAAGUCAGCCCUACAGUAUAAAGGACCAAUCUCCAAGUCAUUUACUUAUGUGUCAGGAUAAAAAUAUGAUUACAUAGAUGAGGAAUCGUCGGGUUAACAGUACCUCGAGAUGUGUUUUGAUCCAGCCACAUACUCAAAAGGAAACGCUCAGAAACAGCAAUUGUCGCCACAAAUGAAGAAUGUUCACGUUUGUUUUACAACUUCUUAAUGCACCGCAUUCAGUCUUCCUGUAAACUUGACUGCUUAGUCCUUAAAGUAUAUUGGUGGAGCAAUGUCUGCAUGCCUUCGUCAACACAUCUAUUGGCCUGUUUGUCCCAGCAUCCCAGUUGGAAUGGGAACCCUUCUAAGAAAAGCCUUUAUCCUUUACUCACCUACAAACUCACUGGGCACCCCCGGAAUUGUGGUCCUGGGCGUAUAGCAGGUGUCUAGUCACUCUUUUCUGGUUGUGCCAGUAAUUGGGGCCUGAUUACAAUUCUGUUUCAUCCAGUGCACCUCAAUGGAGAGAAACCAGCAAGAAACUCAUGCUUUCUGCCCCAUCUCCUUCCUUUCUUCUGUGUGUAAAGUGGAGAAAAGGCUGGAGAGUGUGGUAAGAUAGGAAGAAACCAAGCAAAGCACACAUAAACAAACAAAUGAAUAAAUAAAAGGGAAAAA
rnacentral:lncRNA from 1 species